UGAUUGAUGUCCUUGAACCUAAGCUCUUAUGGAUAAUUUCCCCCUUACAAAACUAGAUUGGUAAUUAAUUCUUAAAUACAUCUGCCAAGACUGGAAUUGAUUGUGCAUAGUUAUUUACUAAACUAUAUAGUUAAUAUGGUUUGAGCCCUACACACACUGAGAAUGUUUUGACCAAACUGUUAUGUAUUAAUACUGAUAAAUUAGUAAUCAUGAUAAAAGGGCCGCACUUGUUACAUGAGUGACAGUUCUGCCAGCUCCUUGUAAAUGUUAGAUUGAAACACUGUAGGAAUUAGGUCAAAAUACUUACAAAUGUUAGUAUGUUCAUUUUUAAGUAAGCAUAAGAUUUUAAGUAUACAGUUCAAAGUCGAUCUUUUUUUAAAAAUGUUGAGCCUUGCUUGAUAUGGCAUGAAGAAGCAGUGUGAUUAUGGAGAGGGUUGAAUACUAAAUACUCGAGACUUGACUAAUAAUUUUGGUAAACUAUACAGUACCUGUUAAAGAAUAGGGACUAAUAGGAAGAAUCUUGAUCAUAGGAACUGGGGAGAAGGUUAAGAUUUUUUUUUUGUAACGUGUGUAUUUUAGAUCAUGGAUUUUAGAUAUUGCCCACAGUUUGCUUAAGAUAUUUGAUGAGCUCUAAUCCAGAUCAUAAUGAACUUUAAUGCACUGGAACAUGUAAAUCUCUCCUAAACUCUUCUGCCCAAGUCGAUGUGGUGACCCACCUCUAACUCAUGUUGUGGUCUAGUAAUAAUUCAUAAAGCAAAAAAAUAAAAAAAUACAGGCUGGUGGUGUGAUUUUCCAGCACAAAAAAUAAAAUUGAUCAAUGAUACAUUGAUAAAUAAUCACUAACCACCUUCCCUUGUUAGAGCCGUUAACUGGCAGUGGCACAUGUCAAAUAAAACCCCCCCUUGUAAUUAAGCUACAUGCUCACCUGAACAGCUUCUUCACCCCCCUAUUUCCUUGAUAUGACUCCAAGUGUGGCUUUACUCUCCAUUGUGUGAUCUCUCUAUCUCCGUUGCCGUUGAAGGAUGAAUCCAGCCUACAAGAUACCUUGCCACAUGCCUUGUUGUGGGAAGCAGACUCUUGUGACUUGUGUCUCGGGAAUUCCUCAAAGCUCCAUCAGGAUCUGGUACGUAUUACCAGCCCUCCUGUCUACAGCAGCAAGUCAAUCUCGCUACUUACAUCAGUACUACAGAGCCCAAGUGUUCCUCAACACCCAUCAGAAUUUGAGCAACAAUUCACUGACUAAGAGAAAGAAGGGAGCGUCUGUAUCGAGUAAAAACAUCACGCAGCAUUGAGAGAAAACAAAUCAGGAGAAGCUCCUUUACCAGCACAGCUUAAAUAUUCGUCUGUGAUUUUGUGUGUUCAUUAUGGUGAACCAAGAAAAAAAGGAACUGGUCAGAGAAUAACAGAUGUCGUGUGGAUGCCAAUCUGUGAUAUAUCUUCAUCUUCCUCAAAGAAUGGCCUAAAAAUCACCAGAUCUAAUUUGGCUCAAUAAAGUGGUCACAGCCUUGCAGCAGUAAUACGUAUAGCCAACAUAGAAGACUGACAGCUAAUGAAAAGAGGGACUUAUAUGAUGUCCUUCAAAUGUUACCAGGAAACAAACGGCUAAAAUCUUUAGUGUCCAUUAAAUAUUCAAAGAUCGUUACCCUGCAAGAUGUGAGAAAUAUGAAGAAAACAGUAAAGGCUCUUUGUGAUCGUUCCGAAAUUUUUUUUUUUUAUAGACAGUUUGGGUAGAGGAAGAUCUGUUUUUUUAUGCUUUUGUAUGAAGAGAGAGAAGUGAAAUGAUCCAAAAUAUUUUUCAAACAUUUGUAAUGUGAAGGUGCUAGCCAAAUGAAAACAGUACUGCUAGGUAAAGAUCAUGAUGAAAUACAAGCAGUUAAAUCUAUAUUUCCAGAUGUAACUGUGGUUCCUUGUAACUUCCAUACUCUAAAAUACUUUAAGGAGGUUUCAGAACUAAUUGUCAGUGUUAGUAAGAAAAAUUAAAUAGUGUACUCUUAAAUCAUUGGUGUAUGCAAGGAACGAGACAAUAUUCAAAUGUAAUGAAUGUAUGAAAGACCCAGAGUUGAAUAUCGCUAAAGUACUAGACUCCAAACUAAAAACAUAGAAAUACGUUCAGACUUUCCUGUUAAGGUGGUGAUUUAAAGUGAACCAUUAUGACAUAAUGGUAUGAUGAGACUAGUUGAAUAGGCGUAGCUUCUUCGGUAACAUAAACAACCAUAAAAUUAAGUCAAUACAAUUGAAUGGCACCUGGUUAAAAUCCCAUAGAUAUCGAAAAGUUCAAAUACUGAACAGACUAGGCAUCUUAAGUUAAUGUAGAAUUUCAAAAGAUAAAAAAUAUAUAUAGAUCCAAUUGGACUUGGUUAAAAGCAAACCAAACAAUACAACUGGUCAAGACAUGGUUCAGAUCUCCGGGUGCAAAUACCAUUGCGUUAUUUGCACCCCCGUGUGAAAAUACCAUUGUUAUAUUCACCUCCAGGUGCAAAUACCCACAUCAUAUUUUAAUUGCAUGAAUGAAACUAUUACCUCCUCUGCAUUUACAAGAUGCUUAUGUAGGCCUAUGCUAAUAAACUAAUUAUGGUCUUUGGAUUCAGUUCUUUAAGCAAAGUCUCCAUUAGCAUGCAUGUACUAUCUAGAUUGUGAUCAUUUAUAAGAUAUCUAUUAGUGUUGGGUUUAUUUCCCACUGACUGUUAAUUAUAU